CUCUCAGUUCAAAUUAAACUUACACAUGCAAGUCUCCCACUCCAGUGAAAAUGCCCUUUUUCUCCCUUAUAAGAAGAAAAGGAGUUGGUAUCAGGCUCAAAUAGCCCAAAACACCUAGCUCAGCCACACCUUCAAAGGAUUACAGCAGUGAUUAACAUUAAAUAUUAGCGCAAGCUAAACUUAGUUAUAAUUAAUAUAGUCGGUCAAUUUCGUGCCAGCCACCGCGGUUAUACGAAAGACUUAAACUGAAAGCCACCGGCGUAAAGCGUGAUUAGGGGAAAAUAUACUCUAAAGCUAAACUCUGAUUUAAUUGUUAUAAGUUAUUAUCAGCAGGAAAUUCAAUAACGAAAGUAGCUUUAUUACACCUGAAUUCACGGUAGCCAAGACCCAAACUGGGAUUAGAUACCCCACUAUGCUUGGCCCUAAACUUUGAUAAUUACAACUUAU
rnacentral:rRNA from 1 species